rnacentral:rRNA from 1 species
GACGAACGCUGGCGGCGUGCUUAACACAUGCAAGUCGAACGGAAAGGCACUGCUUUUGUGGGGUGCUCGAGUGGCGAACGGGUGAGUAACACGUGAGUAACCUGCCCUUGACUUUGGGAUAACUUCAGGAAACUGGGGCUAAUACCGGAUAGGAGCUCCUGCUGCAUGGUGGGGGUUGGAAAGUUUCGGCGGUUGGGGCUGGACUCGCGGCUUAUCAGCUUGUUGGUGGGGUAGUGGCUUACCAAGGCUUGGGCGGGUAGCCGGCCUGAGAGGGUGACCGGCCACAUUGGGCCUGAGAUACGGCGCAGACUCCUACGGGAGGCAGCAGUGGGGAAUAUUGCCCAGUGGGCGGAAGCCUGAUGCGGCAACGCCGCGUUCGGGAUGACGGCCUUCGGGUUGUAAACCGCUUUCGCCUGUGACGAAGCGUGAGUGACGGUAAUGGGUAAAGAAGCACCGGCUAACUACGUG